rnacentral:rRNA from 1 species
AAGAACCUUACCUACCCUUGACAUGUACGGAACCCUGCCGAGAGGUGGGGGUGCCCGAAAGGGAGCCGUAACACAGGUGCUGCAUGGCUGUCGUCAGCUCGUGUCGUGAGAUGUUGGGUUAAGUCCCGCAACGAGCGCAACCCUUGUCCCCAGUUGCUACGCAAGAGCACUCCGGGGAGACUGCCGGUGACAAACCGGAGGAAGGUGGGGAUGACGUCAAGUCCUCAUGGCCCUUAUGGGUAGGGCUUCACACGUCAUACAAUGGUCGGAACAGAGGGUUGCGAAGCCGCGAGGUGGAGCCAAUCCCAGAAAACCGAUCGUAGUCCGGAUUGCAGUCUGCAACUUCGACUGCAUGAAAGC